GAUGAACGCUGGCUACAGGCUUAACACAUGCAAGUCGAGGGGAAACGGCAUUGAGUGCUUGCACUGAAUGGACGUCGACCGGCGCACGGGUGAGUAACGCGUAUCCAACCUUCCCGUUACUGCGGGAUAACCUGCCGAAAGGCAGACUAAUACCGCAUGUUCUUCGAUGACGGCAUCAGAUUCGAAGCAAAGAUCCGUCGGUAACGGAGGGGGAUGCGUCUGAUUAGCUAGUUGGCGGGGCGACGGCCCACCAAGGCGACGAUCAGUAGGGGUUCUGAGAGGAAGGUCCCCCACAUUGGAACUGAGACACGGUCCAAACUCCUACGGGAGGCAGCAGUGAGGAAUAUUGGUCAAUGGGCGGAAGCCUGAACCAGCCAAGUAGCGUGCAGGAUGACGGCCCUACGGGUUGUAAACUGCUUUUAUGCGGGGAUAAAGUGAGGGACGCGUCCCUUUUUGCAGGUACCGCAUGAAUAAGAACCGGCUAAUUCCGUG
rnacentral:rRNA from 1 species